UGCGUAGGUGGUUUCUUAAGUCAGGAGUGAAAGGCUACGGCUCAACCGUAGUAAGCUCUUGGAACUGGGAAACUUGAGUGCAGGAGAGGAAAGUGGAAUUCCUAGUGUAGCGGUGAAAUGCGUAGAUAUUAGGAGGAACACCAGUGGCGAAGGCGGCUUUCUGGACUGUAACUGACACUGAGGCACGAAAGCGUGGGGAGGCAAAACA
rnacentral:rRNA from 1 species